GCGCCGUUGGUCUAGUGGUUAUGAUAAUUGCCUUCCAUUUCCAAGUGGGUUAGCAAUUGAGACGCGUUCGAUUCGCGUACGGCGCA